UGGGGAAUUUUGGACAAUGGGCGAAAGCCUGAUCCAGCAAUGCCGCGUGUGUGAAGAAGGCCUUCGGGUUGUAAAGCACUUUUGUCCGGAAAGAAAUCCUUGGCUCUAAUACAGUCGGGGGAUGACGGUACCGGAAGAAUAAGCACCGGCUAACUACGUGCCAGCAGCCGCGGUAAUACGUAGGGUGCAAGCGUUAAUCGGAAUUACUGGGCGUAAAGCGUGCGCAGGCGGUUUGCUAAGGCCGAUGUGAAAUCCCCGGGCUCAACCUGGGAACUGCAUUGGUGACUGGCAGGCUAGAGUAUGGCAGAGGGGGGUAGAAUUCCACGUGUAGCAGUGAAAUGCGUAGAGAUGUGGAGGAAUACCGAUGGCGAAGGCAGCCCCCUGGGCCAAUACUGACGCUCAUGCACGAAAGCGUGGGGAGCAAACAGGAUUAGAUACCCUGGUAGUCCACGCCCUAAACGAUGUCAACUAGUUGUUGGGGAUUCAUUUCCUUAGUAACGUAGCUAACGCGUGAAGUUGACCGCCUGGGGAGUACGGUCGCAAGAUUAAAACUCAAAGGAAUUGACGGGGUCAUAGCUG
rnacentral:rRNA from 1 species